GAAUAAACGGAAGUUAUGAUUAAUCCGCAAUUUUGAGGCCAAGAAAGGAUAAUAACUUUGUGAAAUGUGGAGUCCUUACUGAAAUUCAUCACCAUCUUAUGUGAAGAAUCAUCAGUUAAUCAUCUCUUCUAUUUUGCAUCAAGAGUGACCCACUUGCAACUCGAGGCAAAGAGGUGUAUCAAGAUGCACGUACUUUGCAAAGAGUACAAAUUUGGAGGACUAGGUAGGAUAAUAAAUUUGUAAAAUGCGGAGUCCUUACUGAGACACAUCACCAUCUUAUGAGAAGAAUCAUCAGUAAAUUGACUCUUCUAUUUUGCAUCAAGAGUGACCCAUUUGCAACUCAAGGCAAAGAGGUGUAUCAGGAUGCAUGUACUUUGCAAAGAGCACAAAUUUUGAGGCCUAGGUAUGAUAAUAAACUUGUGAAAUGUGGAGUCCUUACU
rnacentral:lncRNA from 1 species